GAAAUGCGAUAAGUAAUGUGAAUUGCAGAAUUCCGUGAAUCAUCGAAUCUUUGAACGCACAUUGCGCCCUCUGGUAUUCCGGGGGGCAUGCCUGUCCGAGCGUCAUUGCGAACCCCUCAAGCACGGCUUGUGUGAUGGGCCCUCCCGCGUCUUGGUCGUCAAGACGGGCCCGAAAUGCAGUGGCGGCUUCGCGGUUAGCCGAUCAGCCAGAGCGUAUGGGGACUUUCUCUCUGUCACACGCCCGCGGCGCGGACCGACGCCUGUCGACCUUCAUUCAUCGUUUUCUCGGUUGACCUCGGAUCAGGUAGGGAUACCCGCUGAACUUAAGC
rnacentral:misc_RNA from 1 species